GGGGCUCCAGAGAGGGGAACCCGUCGCCAUCGUCAUCAUCAACCUUCCUCCAUCACCAAUUUCAUGAUGCUCACCGCCGUGCGUGAGUAAUUCCAUCGUAGGCUUGCUGGACGGUGAUGGGUUGGAUGAGAUUUAUCAUGUAAUCGAGUUAGUUUUGGUAGGGUUUCAUCCCUAGUAUCCAUUAUGUUCUGAGAUUGAUGUUGCUAUUACUUUGCUAUGCUUAAUGCUUGUCACUAUGGGUCGAGUGCCAUGAUUUCAGAUCUGAACCUAUUAUGUUUUCAUGAAUAUAUGUGAGUUCUUGAUUCUAUCUUGCAAUUCAAUAGUCACCUACUAUGUGUUAUGAUCCGGCAACCCUGAAGUGACAAUAAUCGGGAUACUUAGGCUAGUUGUAAUGGAAGUAUCAUAGCUAGUAUCAUGCAUCCCAACUAGGCAAUUUUAAUGAGGUGUCAUAGCCUUAAAUGAAGAAAGAGAUGGUGGAGUAUCAUAUCAUGAUACCGUAUCAUAAUAAAUGCUAUGCUACUUUGUGUCAUGCAUGACAAUAAAUAGAGUACUACAUGAUACUAAUAUAUGAUACUAUGCAUUAGGGAGGUACUAUCAUACACUAGUAUCAUAUGCAUGAUACUACUAUAUGAUACUCCCCAUUACAACCAGCCUUACCGGUGAUGACCGUAGUUUGAGGAGUUCAUGUAUUCACUAAGUGUUAAUGCUUUGGUCCGGUAGUCUAUUAAAAGGAGGCCUUAAUAUCCCUUAGUUUCCAUUAGGACCCCGCUGCCACGGGAGGGUAGGACAAAAGAUGUCAUGCAAGUUCUUUUCCAUAAGCACGUAUGACUAUAUUCGGAAUACAUGCCUACAUUACAUUGAUGAACUGGAGCUAGUUCUGUGUCACCCUAGGUUAUAAAUUUUACAUGAGGAAUUGCAUCCGACAUAAUUCUCCAUCACCGAUCCAAUGCCUACGAGCUUUUCAUAUAUUGUUCUCUGCUUAUUUACUUUUUUGUUGCUACUGUUACAAUCACUAUAAAACCCAAAAACUGCUACUGUUACUUUUGCUACUGUUACCACUACUAUCAUAUUACUUUGCUACUAAACAAUUUCCUGCAGAUAUUAGGUUAUCCAGGUGUGGUUGAAUUGACAAAUCAGCUACAAAUACUUGAGAAUAUUCUUUGGCUCCCCUUGUGUUGAAUCAAUAAAUUUGGGUUGAAUACUCUACCCUCGAAAACUGUUGUGAUCCCCUAUACUUGUGGGUUAUCAAGACCAUUUUCUGGCCCCCUUGCCGGGGAGCAUAGCUCUAUUCUUUGAGUCACUUGGGAUUUAUAUCUGCUGAUCAUUAUGAAGAACUUGAAAGAUCAAAGAACCAAGAUUUUUCCCUCAACUAUGAGGGGAGGUAAGGAACUGCCAUCUAGCUCUGCACUUGAUUCACCUUCUGUUAUGAGUAAACUUGCGACACCUACUACUGUUAUUGACUCCGAUAGGUCGCAUGUUAUUGAUGAUGCCACUUCUGCUAUGCGUGAUAUUUAUGAUGAAACUACUUCUAUGCUUGAUACUACUAUUCCACUAGGUGAAUUUCUUGAUGAACAACUUGCUAGGGCUAGAGAGAAUGAAAUUACUGAGUCUGAUAAUAUUGAUGAAAGUGAUGAUGAAGAUUCUCCACCUAGAUAUGAAUUGUCUGUUGUACCUGAGGGUUAUGUUAUGGAUGAAGAAACUGCUAGAGACUUUCUUACUUGCAAUGAUAGAAGUGAUCUUAAGAAAUUAUUAGCUAAGCUGAAAGAAAAAUCUCUGAAUGCUAGAAUGAAAUAUGAUCCUACUUAUGCUACUUCGCCUAUCUUUAUUAUAGACAAGGAUUAUGAUUUCUCAGUUGAUCCUGAUAUAAUUACUUUGGUUGAAUCUAAUCCUUUCUGUGGCUAUGAAUCUGAAACUAUUGUGGCACAUCUUAGUAAAUUAAAUGAUAUAGCUACCCUAUUCACUAAUGAUGAGAAAACUCGCUACUAUUAUAUCCUUAAAUUAUUUCCAUUCUUGUUAAAGGGUGAUGCUAAGAUAUGGUUUAAUUCUCUUGAUCCUGGUUGUGUGCGUAGUCCCUAGGAUAUGAUUUACUACUUCUCUGCUAAAUAUUUCCUCGCUCAUAAGAAACAAGCUGCUUUAAGGGAAAUAUAUAAUUUUGUGCAAAUUGAAGAAGAGAGUCUCCCACAAGCUUGGGGGAGGCUUCUCCAAUUACUUAAUGCUUUGCCUGAUCAUCCUCUCAAGAAAAAUGAAAUACUUGAUAUAUUUUAUAAUGGACUAACCGAUGCUUCCAGAGAUUACCUGGAUAGUUGUGCUAGUUGUGUUUUCAGGGAAAGAACAGUUGAUCAAGCUGAAUUGCUAUUGAAUAAUAUGUUGACUAAUGAAAAUAAUUGGACACUUCCUGAACCAACUCCUAAGCCAACUCCGAACAAAAGGGGUAUUCUAUUUCUCAGUCCUGAAGAUAUGCAAGAGGCAAAGAAAUCUAUGAAAGAAAAAGGUAUAGAAGCUGAAGAUGUUAAGAAUUUACCUCCUGUUGAAGAAAUACAUGGUCUUAAUUCAUCACCUAUUGAAGAAACACACGGCCUCGAUAACCCGACAUAGGUAGUAAAGGUAAACUCUCUCUAUAGAUAUGAUAAAGCUGAAAUCCCUCCUGCUAAGUUUGCUAGCCAAUGUUUGGAUGAAUUUGAUAACUUUAUGGUUAAGCAAGAAGAUUUUAAUGCUUAUUUUGGUAUACAACUGAAACACAAUGCAUAUAUGAUUGAACACUUGAGUGAUUAUAUGGACAGUGUUAAAGGUGAACUUAAACUUAUUAGUAAACAUGCUUCUAUGGUUACCCCUCAAGUAGAACAAGUACUUAAAGCUCAGAAUGAUUUGCUCAAUGAAUUGAAUAGUAAAAAUAAUGACUUUGUUGUUAGAGUUGCAACUAGAGGAGGUAAAGGGACUUAGGAACCUUUGUAUCCCGAGGGCCACCCUAAGAGAAUUGAGCAGGAUUCUCAGAGAAAUAACGUUGAUGCACCUAGUCCUUCUAAGAGGAAGAAAAUGAAAAAUGAUAGGACUUUGCAUGCUUCUAGUGAACCUAUUGUAGAUACACCUGAGAAUCCUAAUGAUAUUUCUAUCUCUGAUGCUGAAACACAAUCUGGUAAUGAACAUGAACCUAGUGAUAAUGUUAAUGAUGAUGUUCAUGUUGAUGCUCAACCUAGCAAUAAUAAUGAUGUAGAAAUUGAACCUGCUGUUGAUCUUGAUAACCCACAAUCAAAGAAUCAAUGUUAUGAUAAGAGAGACGUUUUUGCUAGAAAGCACGGUAAAGAAAGAGAACCAUGGGUUCAGAAACCCAUGUCUUUUCCUCCUAAACCAUCCAAGAAAAAGGAUGAUGAUGAUUUUGAGCGCUUUGGUGAAAUGAUUAGACCUAUCUUUUUGCAUAUGCAUUUGACCGAUAUGCUUAAAAUGAAUCCUUAUGCUAAAUAUAUGAAAUAUAUAGUUACUAAUAAGAGAAAGAUACCGGAAGCUGAAAUUUCCACCAUGCUUGCUAAUUAUACUUUUAAGGGUGGAAUACCAAAGAAACUUGGAGAUCCAGGAGUACCAACUAUACCAUGCUCCAUUAAAAGAAACUAUGUUAAAAAUGCUUUAUGUGAUCUUGGAGCCGGUGUUAGUGUUAUGCCUCUCUCUUUAUAUCGUAGACUUGAUUUGAAUAAGUUGACACCUACUGAAAUAUCUUUGCAAAUGGCUGAUAAAUCAACUGCUAUACCUGUCAGUAUUUGUGCGGAUGUGCCUGUUGUGGUUGCGAACGCUACUAUUUUAACAAACUUUGUUAUUCUUGAUAUUCCCGAGGAUGAUAGUAUGUCUAUUAUUCUUGGAAGAUCCUUUUUGCAUACUACAGUGGCUGUUAUUGAUUGCAAUAAAGGCAAUGUAACUUUUCUUGUUAAUGGUAAUGAGCAUACAGUACACUUUCUGAGGAAACAACCUCAAGUCCAUAGUAUCAAUUCUAUUGGAAAAAUUUCAACAAUCACUAUUGGAGGUUUUGAAUUUCCUCUUCCUACUGUCAAGAAGAAAUAUGAUAUUCUUAUUGUUGGGGAUGUGCAUAUCCCCGUUGAGGUAACCUAGUGUUAUUCAAAAAUUCUCCGGUUUCAUGUUAUUCGAAAUGAGUUCGUUACAAGACCUGAUCAACCUUGUUAGUGGAUUCCUUUUGAUGAGCAUGAGAUGGAUGAAUUUAUAAAACACAACUCUCUGUACCCUCUUUUUACUUUCUGUUAUCUAUAUUAAAUAAAGCAAAAAACAGUAAUUUCUGUCAGUUUUUUGAAUUAUCCGUGCAAUAAAAAAUACCCUGAAAAUAAAAGUUCUCCAAAUGCCCUGAAAAUUAAAUAUGAUUUUUUCUAGAAUAUUUGAGAAUAUGUGACACUGAGAACACAUCAGGGGGAGCCAUCACCUGGGCACGAGGGUCCAGGGCACGCCCUACCCCCCUAGGCGCGCCCCCUGCCUUGUGGGCCCAUGGUGGCUCCCCUCCACUUAUUCUAGCCACCAGACACUCCUUCUUCCUCCCAGAAAAAUCACCGAGAAGCUCAAGCACGAGUUCUAGCUCAUUUUGCUGCGAUUUUCGAUCUCCUAGCUCAAAGCUCCACUCACAAAACUGCUUUGGUGGAUUGUUCUUCGGUAUGUGACUCCUCCAAUGGUCCAAUUAGUUUUUGUUCUAGUGCUUUAUUCAUUGCAAGUCUUUGUUGCUUAGGUGACCCUGUUCUUGAGCUUGCAUGUCAAAUUUAUAUGGUCCCAAGUAGUUUUAAUGCAUGAUAUUGCCUCUAGGCCCUUGUAGGAGUAGUUGCUAUCAAUAUUGUGGAGUUUGAUUCACUUUUAUUUCGAGUUACUAAAAAUUUCAGAAAUUUUCAGAAAAUGAUGAAGAGAUUAUUGAGGGGCUCUUCGAGCCGGAGUUCGAAGGAUAAGUAAAGUGAAGAAGAUAGACCCAAAUAUAAUCUCCCUCACACCACGGAGGCCUCACCGACUUUCUCCACGACCAACGUGAACUGCAAGUACCUUGUUCCGCCAGAGGCCAUUCACGCCUACCGAAACCCCACACCAGCUACAGAGCCAGAGCCGGAACCACAAUUUGAUCCGCACCAGUAGUCUGUUUAUAAGUGGAAUCCAGAAGAGAUCGCCAACCAGUGGCACCAGGAGGAUCCUUCUCAGUAUGCCCCAACUACAACUUUGGAUAUACGCCAGGCAGCCGUGGCAGUAAACCAACUUAGCCCAAAAGCCUAAGCUUGGGGGAGUACGCACUUCUCACCGACAUUACAUUCCUGUUCACACACUCAUGCUAGUUGUCGGUGCUCAUACUUUUUCAUUGUAAUAUCCAUGCUAGUUUAUUUCCCUUUUUAUGCUUUCUUCUUGUGUGUUUGAUAAACCUUAAGAAAAACAAAAAAAAUAGUUGUAGCUUUUAGCUAGUUUACUUUUCAUGCUGUAGUAGUAAUAAUUAAAAGAAAACCCAAAAAGAUUUCUUGUUCUUCUUUUGCUUGUUGGGAGCUUUACCGUGUAAAUAGUUUUGUUUCUUUUCUUUGGGGCUCGAGAGGAGAAGACCAUAAUGAAAAUAUUGAGUGGCUCUCAUAUGCAUUAUUGUUGAUCUAACAAAGAGCCCAUAUUACAUUUUCUUCUCUCUUGAAUUGAAUGCUUGCAGAUUCCAGCUUAGUCCAAUGCACGUGAACUAUUGCUAUUAUCCACACUAUUUGGUUGUGCAAGUGAAAGGAAAUAAUGAUGAUUAUAUGAUGAACUAAUUGAGAUGAGAAAAGCUGGUAUGAACUCGACCUCUCUUGUUUAUGUAAAUAUAAUUAGUUCAUCAUUCCUAAUUCACCCUAUUAUGAAAGAAACAUAUUUGCAAUGACAAUUAGAGAUUGUAGUUGCUUAUGCCAUGCUUAAUUAGCUAGGAGUUUAUAAUGGUUUACCUUGCGUGCCAACAUGCUAUUAAAAUGGUUGUGAUGUGGUAUGAUAGGGUGGUAUCCUCCUUUGAAUGAUUUGAGUGGCUUGACUUGGCACAUGUUCACGCAUGUAGUUGAAACAAAAUUAACAUAGCCUCUACGAUAUUUAUGUUCAUGGUGAAUUAUACCCUACUCAUGCUUGCAUUCGGUGUUGAUUAACUUUAACGCAUGUUCAUGACUAUUGUCGCUCUCUAGCUGGUCGCUUCCCAGUCUUUUUCUGGCCUUCACUUGUACUAAGCGGGAAUACUGCUUGUGCAUCCAAUUCCAUAAACCCCAAAGUUAUUCCAUAUGAGUCCACCAUACCUACGUAUAUACGGUAUCUACCUGCCGUUCCAAGUAAAUUUGUAUGUGCCAAACUCUAAACCUUCAAAUGAACAUUCUGUUUUGUAUGCUCGAAUAGCUCAUGUAUCAACUAGGGUUGGCUGUAUCUUCCAUGCUAGGAAGGUUAUUCUCAGGAGGAGUGGACUCCGCUCCUCACUCACGAGAAAAUGGCUGGUCACCGGGAUGCCCAAUCCCAUGCUUUAUGCAGAUCAAAUCAAAAUAACUGCAAACAAAACUCCCCCGGGACUCUUGUUAGUUGGAGGCACUCAUUGUUUCGAGCAAGCCAUGGGUUGAUGCUUGUUGGUGGAGGGGGAGUAUAAACUUUACCAUUCUGUUUGGGAACCGCCUAUAAUGUGUGUAGCAUGGGACAUAUUGAGAUCUCUCAGUUGUUAUGUUGACAAUGAAAGUAUACCGCUCCAAAUAUUAUUCAUAUCUAUCUCAAAACCAAGCUCUCGCACCUCUACAAAUCCCUUCUUCCCUCUGCGAAGGGCCUAUCUAUUUACUUUUAUGUUGAGUCAUCAUACUCUUAUUAAAAAGCACCAGUUGGAGAGCAUCGCUGUCAUUUGCAUCCAUUACUGUUAGUUUACAUUGAGUAUGACUUGACUGGAUUUCUUUUACCAUGAAUUACAAUGUCUAGUCAGUCCUUGAUCUUUAAAGGUGCUCUGCAUUUAUGUUUUGCAGUCUCAGAAAGUGCUAGCGAGACACCAUCUUGUUAUAUCAUAUUAUGAUUGUUUUCUGAAAGUGUUGUCAUCCGAGCUUUAUUAUUACUGCUCGCUAGUUGAUUAUGCUAUUGAUAUGAGUAAACAUGAGACCUAAAUGUUAUUGCGAAUGUGGUUAGUUCAUAAUCUUUGCUGAAAACUAGAAUGCUGGCUUUACAUAUUUACAACAACAAGAGGAAACAGAGUUUGUAAAAGUUUUUCUUUAUCACUUUCAAUUUAUCAACUGAAUUGCUUGAGGACAAGCAAAGGUUUAAGCUUGGGGGAGUUGAUACGUCUCCGUCAUAUCUACUUUUCCAAACACUUUUGCCCUUGUUUUGGACUCUAACUUGCAUGCUUUGAAAGGAACUAACUCGGACUAACGCUGUUUUCAGCAGAAUUGCCAUGGUGUUAUUUUUGUGCAGAAAUAAAAGUUCUCGGAAUGACCUGAAAAUCAACGGAGAUUAUUUUUGGAAUAUAUAAAAAAUACUCGAAGAAGAAUCCACGUCAUGGGGCCCACACCCUGUCCACGAGGGUGGGGGCGCGCCCUUGCCUCGUGGGCCCCCUGACGCUCCACCGACCUCAACUCCAACUCCAUAUAUUCAUGUUCGGGGAGAAAAAAAUCAGAGAGAAGGAUUCAUCGCGUUUUAUGAUACAGAGCCGCCGCCAAGCCCUAAAAUCUCUUGGGAGGGCUGAUCUGGAGUCCGUUCGGGGCUUCAGAGAGGGGAAUCCAUCGCCAUCGUCAUCAUCAACCUUCCUCCAUCACCAAUUUCACGAUGCUCACCGCCGUGCAUGAGUAAUUCCAUCGUAGGCUUGCUGGACGGUGAUGGGUUGGAUGAGAUUUAUCAUGUAAUCGAGUUAGUUUUGUUAGGGUUUGAUCCCUAGUAUCCAUUAUGUUCUGAGAUUGAUGUUGGUAUGACUUU
rnacentral:lncRNA from 1 species